AUGCCCAUUGGAGUUCCAAAAGUACCUUACCGGAUUCCCGGAGAUGAAGAAGGGACUUGGGUUGACUUAUACAAUGUUAUGUAUCGAGAAAGGACACUUUUUUUAGUUCACUACCCUAUACAUAGAAAGAAGUGCUUUUCCACCGGUAUCAACAUUCUAUCUAGAAUCAGUAGCGAUAAUUGUUGUAUUGUGAGCCAGCCCCGUAAGACACUACACACCUCCAAAUUCUGUAUGAUUUUUCCAAUCAUUUCAUUUAUAUGA
rnacentral:rRNA from 1 species